rnacentral:misc_RNA from 1 species
AAGUCGUAACAAGGUUUUCCUUCCGGUUAAGUACCUAACUUACUGAAGCCUGACACAGCGACUCUAAACAAUUGUGGAGUUUGCCUCGCGAAGGUAAACAAUACCGCUGAAAUGCUGUGAUCACUUACCUGUGUGUACCAGCAGCCUGACAUUCCUGUCAGGCCCACAGAUCAAGUUGCGGUGGUCUAGUGUGUAAACCACAACUGGACUACAAUAUGACCGGUCUCGACCAUGACGGUUGAGAAUUCACGUUCCGUAGGUGAACCUGCGGAAGGAUCAUUACCGAGUUAGGGUCUUCUAGGCCCGAUCUCCAACCCUGUGUAUAAUUUACCAUGUUGCUUUGGCAGGCCCGUCUAACCGGACCGCCGGGAGAUUUUUAGAUCUUCUAGCCCGUGCCUGUCAGUGGCCCCCCCUCAAAUUUUGAUAAAAUGUGAAGUCUGAGUAAUAAAUUUAAUAGUUAUAAA